AUUGAACGCUGGCGGCAUGCCUUACACAUGCAAGUCGAACGGUAACAGGUCUUCGGAUGCUGACGAGUGGCGAACGGGUGAGUAAUACAUCGGAACGUGCCCGAUCGUGGGGGAUAACGAGGCGAAAGCUUUGCUAAUACCGCAUACGAUCUACGGAUGAAAGCGGGGGAUCUUCGGACCUCGCGCGGACGGAGCGGCCGAUGGCAGAUUAGGUAGUUGGUGGGAUAAAAGCUUACCAAGCCGACGAUCUGUAGCUGGUCUGAGAGGAUGAUCAGCCACACUGGGACUGAGACACGGCCCAGACUCCUACGGGAGGCAGCAGUGGGGAAUUUUGGACAAUGGGCGAAAGCCUGAUCCAGCCAUGCCGCGUGCAGGAUGAAGGCCUUUGGGUUGUAAACUGCUUUUGUACGGAACGAAAAGCCUCUUCCUAAUAAAGAGGGGUCAUGACGGUACCGUAAGAAUAAGCACCGGCUAACUACGUG
rnacentral:rRNA from 1 species